rnacentral:lncRNA from 10 species
GCAGAGAAUUGCCCCACACAUCUGCUGCGCACCCAUGCCCUGGAGAUAGAGUUAUAAUUCCCAUCUCACAGAUGAAGGAACUGAGGCAAAGAGAGGCAAACUAAACGUGUGUGCACUAGUUGGGCAAAACUUCCAACCCAAAUGGACUCGUGACGAUGACUGAGGUUUUGUGGAAGACGUUGACCCGCACAACAGGUCCAUACUUCUUAGCCCUGGAAACCAAAGUGACCCGAAGGAAACUGUCAACCACCUGAGGUAUGACCAUCACCAACCCCG